UUUUGUCAAGUCAAAGGCUGGGCGCCAAGCUGUAACACUUGGAGGUAGUAGGUUCAAAUCCUAUCAAAAG
rnacentral:tRNA from 1 species